rnacentral:lncRNA from 1 species
GACUGCUGAUAAUCUCACCAACCGCUUCCUGUACAAACACCGGAAGUCAACUCUACAAAUUUUAGAUAAGAAAAAGCCAUGUCAGAGGGAGAUGCUCUCAGACGUGCAGAGACUUUCAAACUUCACCAGUACAUCAGUUCCUGCAAAAUAGACCAGAGAAGGUGCUUCCCGCAAAAUAAACAGGUAAGCAAAAUCUAAAAAGGUAAUGCAAGAUUGAAGAAGGCAAAGUGUAAAUAAGAACAGUGAUAUUUAGACUAGAGGGAAGUUUCAUGUUUUUUUGUUAAAAUGCUUUUGAAACGAAAUGCAAAUGUAAGGACAAUCCUUGCCAAAAAUACUGUAUAAUGGAAAAAUAAAUUUUUAAAGGCUAAUUAUUUUCAUCUGGAUUUAAUAUUCUUGGUCAUUUCAAUACACUUAAGAGACAUCAUUAACCAAUUCCUUCAAAAUUUAACUCAUAUCUCACCUCUGUUCCCCAUUCUUAUUUCUAACAC